GGGCAUCCCUGAACAACAGUCCCGAGACAAGGUCACACAACCAUUUAGACAAAAAUAGACAGGCUUCUCAGGAGGAGCUUGAUGACAGCCUGGAAAGUGAAACAGAAGAUCUGCAAAUAAAAUACGCUGAGAGAUGGUGGGCUGGAGAUCAAGAGGGACGGAGGAUCACCACUGACACCAAAGGAUGUAGAGAAACACUGGGGAGAGGGAGAAUAAAGGUGAAAACCAGGCAGUCUACUGGUGGACAAAAGAGGGAAGUUCAGUGGGCGGUGCCUGAGCUGGAGAUGCCUGAGGACGAGCCUGAAGACAUCAUCCAUUGUAUCAUUCUGAACCAGACACUGUGUCGCAAGCUGCUGCAGGAGUGUGAGCAAAUCCUGGAUAAACUUCAGCUCCAAACCUGGAUUGACUCACAGCCUUAUACCUAUGAUGACGUGGAUGAACAAGUGCAAGCCAAUGCUAUUUUACCUCAAGCGGCAGGUCCCCCACAGAUAGAGCUCCAAGACUGGUUUGUGCCAGCAACAAGGAUUCUUUGUCCAGCUAAGUGCCCGUCCACCUCUGAGUCCUGUCUCAGCAUCUACACCUCAGCCAUGGAUAACAGUCUGUUCCAUCAGGAUAUACAGCAGGCUGGUGGAGAGGAGCCCACCAGAGACCAAUACAUGCCUGGCCUGCAGCCCAGUGCAACCAUGGCAUCGGCCAAAGAACAUCCUCUUCAGGCAAGGCCCUCGGAGUUACACAUCAAACCUCAAUGGGC
rnacentral:lncRNA from 1 species